rnacentral:sRNA from 1 species
UACUAUAGGUAACAUUCCGAUAGAGGC